UACGAAGGGGGGCUAGCGUUGCUCGGAAUCACUGGGCUUACAGGGUGCGUAGGCGGCUUAGCAAGUCAGGUGUGAAAGCCCCCCGGCUCAACCGGGGAACUGCGCUUGAAACUGCUGAGCUCGAGUCAGCUAGAGGUACACGGAACUUCCAGUGGAGCGGUGAAAUGUGUUGAUAUUGGAAGGAACACCGGUGGCGAAGGCGGCAUCCUGGACCGAUAUUGACGCUGAUGCGCGAAAGCCAGGGGAGCAAACGGG
rnacentral:rRNA from 1 species